rnacentral:rRNA from 1 species
GUAGGUGGCAAGCGUUGUCCGGAAUUAUUGGGCGUAAAGCGCGCGCAGGCGGUCCUUUAAGUCUGAUGUGAAAGCCCACGGCUCAACCGUGGAGGGUCAUUGGAAACUGGGGGACUUGAGUACAGAAGAGGAAAGCGGAAUUCCAAGUGUAGCGGUGAAAUGCGUAGAGAUUUGGAGGAACACCAGUGGCGAAGGCGGCUUUCUGGUCUGUAACUGACGCUGAGGCGCGAAAGCGUGGGGAGCUAACAGGAUUAGAUACCCUGGUAGUCCACGCCGUAAACGAUGAGUGCUAAGUGUUAGGGGGUUUCCCGCCCCCCUUAGUGCUGCAGCUAACGCAUUAAGCACUCCGCCUGGGGAGUACGGCCGCAAGGCUG